AUACUUACCUGACAGGGGAGACAUGAUGAUCACAAAGGUGAUUUUUCUAGGGCACGGCUUAUCAUUGCACGCCGAAUGUGCUGACCCCUGCGAUUUCCCCAAGUGUGGGAAACUUGACUGUAUAAUUUGUGGUAGUAGGGGACUGUGUUCAUGCUCUCCCUUG